GGUUGUAGAGGCCUCUAGAAUCAAACUUUGGUGGAGGUGGAUCAGCGAAUAGAUGUGAUUAUAAGAGCUGUAACCUGCCACCUGGGGCGAGGGCGUAACUACAGGGCAGACAAACGUCAUAAGAUGGUGCAGCGCGAUUGUUCAACUGCAUGGAGCAACAAGAAACAAUGCUCACAAAUUCAUGUUUCUGACUGGGCCUUGAUCCGGGCAAGAGAAGCCAGUGGCAGGAGUUCCGAGCACAGAAGCAGCCCAAGGAGAUUCUUUGGGUCAGGAAUUUAGACAGGACGUGAAGGGGAUGCCUCACAACAUCUGGGACCUCAGCUGGGAAGACUCAAGGCUGGGAGUGUCCCAGCAGGUGGGGGCUGUAAUCCUCUGGAAGACCCUUCACUCACAUGGCUGGCGCCUCAGCUUCUAUGACUUGAAGACCAGGACUGCUGACCGGAGCACCUACAUGUGGCCUCCCCAUGGGGCUUGGGCUUCCUCACAGCAUGGCAGCCUCAGGGUAGCUGGACUUCUUACUCGGCUGGGAGUAUUGCAGUGAGCAAGGUAGAAGCUGCAUCGCUUUUUAUGACUCAGGCCCACAAGUCACACAGUGUUACUUCCUGCCAUAUUCUGUUGGUCAAAGAAGUCACAGGACCACCAAGGUUCAAGAGAAAGGGAAAUCUACUCUGCCUCCUAACAGUGGCUUGGCAAGCUUGCAUUGUAGAAGAGAAUGUGGAGAGAAGAGAAAGAAAGAUUUUUGCAGCCGUGUUUGGAAAAUACAAUCUGGCACACUCCCUCAGGCUUCUUCUGCUGAUAGGUGGGUAACAAACUUCCAGGCGUCGAGCCUGCAGCCAAUGUGAUCUCACGCUCCUACUGAAUCUUUGUUAAGAUUUAUUUUUUCCUUUCAAGAAGCGAUCCCUGCCUUUAUCUUCUUAAUCAUGAUUGGUUUUUGGCUUAGGAAAUGAUGUUUUAGAGCUGCAAAUAGAUAGGCAAGAUGAGACCAACAUUUCCCACCUGUGUUAUUUAUGAAGCCAUUAAUAACUGUUUGUUGAGAUAAAAAGGACUUAAAGUUUGGAAAAAGUUUUAUAAAUGAUUUUCCUUUUAGAAAUGAAUGCACAUUAUUAUCCUAAAGACUAAGAAGUCCUGCGGGAAAUGAACCUUUUAAAUUUGAUUUAAUUAGGCACCUUUCAGACGGUCAAAAAAAUAUUAAUUUCUACCUCUUGGGUGAUGGUCUCGGGGCUCAGUCUCUGAUGAACUGAGACUUUCUGGGCCUCGAUUUCUUCACCUAUAGGGCGUUGAUUUGAAUAUUGCCUUUACAGUAGUGUUGGCAUAGAAAAGAUGCCCACUAAAUGGUAACUGUUGUUAUCACUAUUAAGCUUCCCCAGCCUCCUUUUGCAGCCAAUCGACUGCCCCCUCAUUCUUCCCCAGGUCUACACAAUGAACAGAAGGCUGCAGUUUCCACCUCGGCAUCUCCUCCCUUCUGACCUCACAAACCCCCAUGUUCCGCCUCGGUCCAGAUAGAAGAAACCCAGCCCACACUUCCCGUAGAACCACAUAACUGGGCUAAGGGAAGAGCCAGAAAAUGCCACUCUUUCUAGAAAAAUCUACCUUUGGGAAGUCUCACCAAGUCACCGGGACCAUUUUCAUAAA
ensembl:lncRNA